rnacentral:rRNA from 1 species
GUAGGGUGCAAGCGUUGUCCGGAUUUAUUGGGCGUAAAGGGCUCGUAGGCGGCCCUGUCGCGUCGGGAGUGAAAGCCCACUGCUUAAACGGUGGGUCUGCUUUCGGUACGGGCGGGCUAGAGUAUGGCAGGGGAGACUGGAAUUCCUGGUGUAGCGGUGGAAUGCGCAGAUAUCAGGAGGAACACCGGUGGCGAAGGCGGGUCUCUGGGCCAUUACUGACGCUGAGGAGCGAAAGCGUGGGGAGCGAACAGGAUUAGAUACCCUGGUAGUCCACGCCGUAAACGUUGGGCGCUAGGUGUGGGGACUGUUUCCACGGUCUCCGUGCCGUCGCUAACGCAUUAAGCGCCCCGCCUGGGGAGUACGGCCGCAAGGCUAAAACUCAAAGGAAUUGACGGGGGCCCGCACAAGCGGCGGAGCAUGCGGCUUAAUUCGAUGCAACGCGAAGAACCUUACCAGGGCUUGACAUGCACGGUGCACCUCUAGAGAUAGAGGGUCCUUUUGGGUCGUGCACAGGUGGUGCAUGGUUGUCGUCAGCUCGUGUCGUGAGAUGUUGGGUUAAGUCCCGCAACGAGCGCAACCCUCGUCCUGUAUUGCCAGCAGCGGCUUCGGCCGGCUGGGGACUUGCGGGAGACUGCCGGGGUCAACUCGGAGGAAGGUGGGGACGACGUCAAAUCAUCAUGCCCCUUAUGUCCUGGGCUGCACGCAUGCUACAAUGGCCGGUACAGAGGGCUGCGAUACCGUGAGGUGGAGCGAAUCCCUUAAAGCCGGUCUCAGUUCGGAUCGGGGUCUGCAACUCGACCCCGUGAAGUCGGAGUCGCUAGUAAUCGCAGAUCAGCAACGCUGCGGUGAAUACGUUCCCGGGCCUUGUACACACCGCCCGUCACGUCACGAAAGUCUGGUAACACCCGAU